rnacentral:rRNA from 1 species
GAUGAACGCUGGCGGCGUGCCUAAUACAUGCAAGUCGAGCGAACAGACGAGGAGCUUGCUCCUCUGACGUUAGCGGCGGACGGGUGAGUAACACGUGGAUAACCUACCUAUAAGACUGGGAUAACUUCGGGAAACCGGAGCUAAUACCGGAUAAUAUAUUGAACCGCAUGGUUCAAUAGUUAAAGACGGUUUUGCUGUCACUUAUAGAUGGAUCCGCGCCGCAGUAGCUAGUUGGUAAGGUAACGGCUUACCAAGGCAACGAUGCGUAGCCGACCUGAGAGGGUGAUCGGCCAAACUGGAACUGAGACACGGUCCAGACUCCUACGGGAGGCAGCAGUAGGGAAUCUUCCGCAAUGGGCGAAAGCCUGACGGAGCAACGCCGCGUGAGUGAUGAAGGUCUUCGGAUCGUAAAACUCUGUUAUUAGGGAAGAACAAAUGUGUAAGUAACUAUGCACGUCUUGACGGUACCUAAUCAGAAAGCCACGGCUAACUACGUG